rnacentral:rRNA from 1 species
UACGAAGGGUGCAAGCGUUAAUCGGAAUUACUGGGCGUAAAGGGUGCGUAGGCGGUUGUUUAAGUCUGUCGUGAAAUCCCCGGGCUCAACCUGGGAAUGGCGAUGGAUACUGGCGAGCUAGAGUGUGUCAGAGGAUGGUGGAAUUCCCGGUGUAGCGGUGAAAUGCGUAGAGAUCAGGAGGAACACCAGUGGCGAAGGCGGCCUUCUGGACCAAUACUGACGCUCAUGCACGAAAGCGUGGGGAGCAAACAGG